CUGCCAUUAGCUCAGUUGGAUAGAGCCUCCGUCUUCUAAGCGGAUAGUCGUGGGUUCGAGCCCUAUAUGGCGCGCUA
rnacentral:tRNA from 1 species